rnacentral:rRNA from 1 species
AUUGAACGCUGGCGGCAGGCCUAACACAUGCCAGUCGAGCGGAUGAAGGGAGCUUGCUCCUGGAUUCAGCGGCGGACGGGUGAGUAAUGCCUAGGAAUCUGCCUGGUAGUGGGGGAUAACGUCCGGAAACGGGCGCUAAUACCGCAUACGUCCUGAGGGAGAAAGUGGGGGAUCUUCGGACCUCACGCUAUCAGAUGAGCCUAGGUCGGAUUAGCUAGUUGGUGGGGUAAAGGCCUACCAAGGCGACGAUCCGUAACUGGUCUGAGAGGAUGAUCAGUCACACUGGAACUGAGACACGGUCCAGACUCCUACGGGAGGCAGCAGUGGGGAAUAUUGGACAAUGGGCGAAAGCCUGAUCCAGCCAUGCCGCGUGUGUGAAGAAGGUCUUCGGAUUGUAAAGCACUUUAAGUUGGGAGGAAGGGCAGUAUGUUAAUACCUUGCUGUUUUGACGUUACCAACAGAAUAAGCACCGGCUAACUUCGUG